AACUGUAUGGAAAAGCAGGAUAAUGAUAGUGAGUGGAACAAGCAGAUACUGGACAUAGAUGCUCUGAAAUGAAAUGUCCAGAGUAAUGGCUUUGCUGUAGCCUGACAAGCAGCUCCCUUGCUCAUCAACCUUUCCUUGCUCCUCUAAAGGGCUCCUUCCCACUGGUGUUGCAGAGAAACAAGGUAAAGAGUGGGCAGUGUGUUCUGACUAGCCACUGGGGUCCCUGAGGAAAUAAAAGGUGGAACUCUGGAGGUUCUCAGGCCUUCUGUUACAAGUCUGCAAGACAGUGUCAGCAAAGAAGAUCUUUGGAGCAUGGGUGGAGGAUAAGGGUGAUGAACUGAGAGUUCAUAUAAGUGGCAUCCAUCACUGGGAACCUCUCAUGCCUGGUAAAAUGGAGAUAAAUCUGGGCUAAAGUCCCAGCCAUGAUUUUAAAAAGCCUCUGUCCCUAUCGAAGGUGAUGGUGGAGUGAGAUGGAUUGAUGUCCUGGAAAGUGAUGAGGGACAUCGGGACCGAUUCACACAUUGGAGUUGGUGCCCUCCACUCUGACCCGAAGGGCGCCAGCUCACAGUGUGAGGGCCUUGGUCUCUAUAUCCAUCAGCUCAUCUGAUUUUCCUUUGAAACUGACAAGGUGACGUGGGCAACUGUCCACAUGGCUCAGGACAGGGAGCAUCAAGUCAUUCCACAUGGGCCAUCAGACAGCACCUAGAGGUAAUGGCCUUUUGUCAAUAGUGUCCUGGCUUGGAUUCAAAUCAGUGACUUAGGGGUGAAAGGCUCUGGAUUCUAUUAUGAAGUGCCCUGAGCUGUCUAGGGGCUGAAAACCAUCCCUCAUCACACUUAAUGGUGGAAUUUAAGGAGCCGCUCUUGCUUUUUCUGCCUCUCUCUCUUCCUUCUGUUCUUUUGCCUUUUAAAACUUAAAUCCAAGUUUGGAUCAAAUGGACCACUAGACAUGGUGGAAAAGAUCUGUUAAUAUGUUUUUAUUUAUUAUUGAAUAUUGAAUUAUUAUAUAUUGAAGGUUAAAACAUAAC